rnacentral:rRNA from 1 species
AUACCGUAUACCUCCUUCGGGAGAAAGAAGGCCUCUCUUUGGAGCUUUCGCUACUAGAUCAGCCUGCGUAAGAUUAGCUUGUUGGUGAGGUAAUGGCUCACCAAGGCGACGAUCUUUAGCUGGUCUGAGAGGACGAUCAGCCACAUUGGGACUGAGACACGGCCCAGACUCCUACGGGAGGCAGCAGUGGGGAAUAUUGGACAAUGGGCGCAAGCCUGAUCCAGCCAUACCGCGUGUGUGAAGAAGGCCUUCGGGUUGUAAAGCACUUUAAGCAGGGAGAAAAAGUUAUAAGCUAAUACCUUAUAACCUUGAUGUUACCUGCAGAAUAAGCACCGGCUAAUUCCGUGCCAGCAGCCGCGGUAAUACGGAAGGUGCAAGCGUUAAUCGGAAUUACUGGGCGUAAAGCGCGCGUAGGUGGUUUGUUAAGUUGGAUGUGAAAGCCCUGGGCUCAACCUAGGAACUGCAUCCAAAACUAACUCACUAGAGUACGAUAGAGGGAGGUAGAAUUCAUAGUGUAGCGGUGGAAUGCGUAGAUAUUAUGAAGAAUACCAGUGGCGAAGGCGGCCUCCUGGAUCUGUACUGACACUGAGGUGCGAAAGCGUGGGUAGCGAACAGGAUUAGAUACCCUGGUAGUCCACGCCGUAAACGAUGACAACUAGCUGUUAGGAGACUAUGUCUUUUAGUGGCGCAGCUAACGUUUUAAGUUGUCCGCCUGGGGAGUACGGCCGCAAGGCUAAAACUCAAAUGAAUUGACGGGGACCCGCACAAGCAGUGGAUCAUGUGGUUUAAUUCGAUGCAACGCGAAAAACCUUACCUACUCUUGACAUACUUGGAAGCUCUUGUAAUGAGAGUGUGCUUUUA